rnacentral:rRNA from 1 species
UACGUAGGGGGCAAGCGUUAUCCGGAUUUACUGGGUGUAAAGGGGGCGCAGACGGCUGUGCAAGCCAGGAGUGAAAGCCCGGGGCCCAACCCCGGGACUGCUCUUGGAACUGCAUGGCUGGAGUGCAGGAGGGGCAGGCGGAAUUCCUGGUGUAGCGGUGAAAUGCGUAGAUAUCAGGAGGAACACCGGUGGCGAAGGCGGCCUGCUGGACUGCAACUGACGUUGAGGCCCGAAAGCGUGGGGAGCAAACAGG